AGAAUCAACGCUGGCGGCGUGCCUCAGACAUGCAAGUCGAACGCGAAAGCCCCCUUCGGGGGGCAAGUAGAGUGGCGCGCGGGUGAGUAACACGUAGGUAAUCUACCUUCGGAUGGGGAAUAACAAUCGGAAACGGUUGCUAAUACCGCAUAAUGCAGCGGCACCUAAUGGUGACAGUUGUUAAAGCGGGGGAUCGAAAGACCUCGCGUCUGAAGAGGAGCCUGCGGCGGAUUAGCUAGUUGGUAAGGUAAUGGCUUACCAAGGCUACGAUCC
rnacentral:rRNA from 1 species